UGUACUCCAGCCUGGUGACACGACGAGACUCCAUCUCAAAAGAAAAAAAAAGAAAAGAAAAAAGAAUUCAGAAUACCUAAGUCACAGAGAAGACAUGUAUAUGGUAGAACUUUAGAACCCAAGGUCUGAAUUAGGAAAAACAGCCCUGCUGAAAUGGUACAUGGGCUGGACAUAAACAAGGAAUAUUUCACAGGCCAGAACUCAGGGGAGGAAAACACUUCCAGAGCUUUAAAUACUAAUAGACAUUUUCUAUCCUCCAAGGCAGUCCUUUGGAUAUGGGUAAUGGAUACAUGCAUAUUUCCUAGCUUCCAGAGCCUCCAUUCACACUGAGAUGUCAGUAACAUCAAAGACAACAAGCACUGGAGUCUCCUCUUUCCUUCAGUCCCCAAGUCAUACUUUAAUAAAGGAUUGAAGCUUUAGACAUGA